AAUACAGGAAAAGUAAAUACACAGCUGGACCAAGGUCUGAAAACAAGGCCUAUGUAUCCAUAUGCUUGUGCUGAUUUCUGCUAAGAUAAUGAUGUGCUGGAAGGAGCUCAUGGAAGCUCCUGGUUAAUAUUCAAUUUCCCCACCAGAAGGAGCUGUGCAGCUUUACACAAGGCCAUCAACAGGAAAGACAUUUUAAACUCCAGUUCUCUCUACAGAGAUGAGCACAGCAAGUGUGGAGGAGCUGGCAGAGGGAGAUCAGAGAGGAGAUAGCUGGCAGCAUAUGACAACAUCAGCUGACCUCAGCUUAUCAAUCCAGCCUGUUCCUGCUGUUAAGAAAGGACACCCCUGCUCAUGAGUUAAAUGUCCACAAGUGAUGAAGAACGCUAAAGAGAUUAACUUGGUUCAUCUCCAUUUUGUCCACAUUUCGUAUGAAAUUUGAUGUCCUUGCAGAUGACGAAUUACAUAAAAGUCCUUGAAUUAUUGCCAAGCAAUGUCUUGAAGGGUGGCCUGUGUGUUGUGUAGCAAGCCAGAUGAGCAGGACAAAGGCUGAAGCAGAGAAGCAAGAUAAAAAUAAGGGAGGGCAGUACAAUAGUAGAGUGAUAAUUAAAUAAAGCAGCAGUACAAGACGCUGAGGACUCAAUUCUGUCUUUAAUUAACAUGCGUGUGCAUCCUACUGACUUUAACAGAAGUUACACUAGUGCAAUUGAGCACAGAAUUGGUCCACUGAGUGCAAACAAUGGUGUAGUAAGAUGUCAUUCUUCAACUGGCCAGACAGCAUCUGAGAACUCGAUGAAGUAAUCACCAAUGGCUUUAAUUUAAUGAACUUCGUUGUGAGAUACUUUGAUCACCAUCUUUGUCCAUCACUCCACUAAAUGGCAAUAGCAUUGCUUUAAAAACAACCACGACCAACAACAACCAGAAAAGAUUUUUUAAAAGAUGGGCCACAGCACAAGGCUCAGUUUACACAGGGACCUCUCCCUCCUCCCAAUGAAGAAAAACGAUGGCUUUUAAGAAGCAGUUUCCUAGUGUGAAAAUUAAAGACAAGGGUUCCUCCCUCCUACUUCUGGGGUUCAGUUACAAUUCACCUACAAUUCCAGUAUAUUUUGGGGGAGACACAUUUUAUUCACAUUUUCUAAUAUGUGGAAGAGAAAUAUUUCCUUUUUUUUUCAGCUCUUACAUAAACUAUUUAUUUAUUUUUCCCUGCUGACAGAAUUUUUUUCCCUUCAACGGGGAUAUUAAAUGUAAUGGGCCAAAUUCUUCUCAGUUACACCACUCUAAUAAUAAAUAACAAAUGUGUAAAGCACCCCACCCCGCACAAAAGUGAUCGGAGUGGUGAACAAUCAUAAAAACAAUUUCUCAUUAACUAAUAAAAAGAACUACCCCAACCUCAACAAAAAUUCCAAACAAGGGAGAGUAAACAAAAAUCAAUAAGAACUAUAAAAUAGCAACAGUGGUUGUAAUUGAAAAACAAUGCUGAAAAUAAUAAGCAUUUAGGUAUUUGUAAAUGUGGGGCGAGAUAAAGAAAGCCAGAUUUCAGCAGGGAGCAAGUUCCACACUAUCAGGGCUACCACAGCAAAAGCUCAAUUGUUUACUGACUUCAGGCACGAUGGUGCCCCAGGCACCGAGAUGUGAGUGCAAAACUGCAUCAGGUGGAGGCUCCAGGAGAAGAUCUCAAAUCUAGCCAGGGCCAUUCUUCCAAACUAGUUUUCUGUUCUUACCAUCAAAUAAAAUCUGUUUAUAGCUACUUUUGGAUUUGAAUCAAUCUAAUAAUCACACUGGUUUCUCCAUUUACAGAAAAUGAGCACGUUUGAUGGAUUACCUGACUCUGUGGCCUUCAUAAAACACCAUUUUCUAUUAAAUAUAGAAAAACCAGGAUUUAUUACUAAAAUUAUUAGUUAAGAUGCAAAAGCAGAUUGUGACUAUGAUUGCUACUUCCUUGUAAUCCUAAAAAACAAGGAAUAUCUAUCCUACUGAUAGAAAGAACUUGCAAUAGAUGUAUUCAUAAUGGACUAAAUUCAUCCCCAGCGUAACUCCAUUAGUCAAUAGAUUUACAUCAGGGAUUAAUUUGGCUCAUAAUGUUUACGUAUUACCUGGAUAUAAAUUAAUGUAAUCUGACAAACAUAUUGGUGAUUAGCUCAAAGCCUACAGUGAAAGUCCACCAUAGCCACUA